rnacentral:lncRNA from 1 species
AUCCAUACAAAGUGUACAUUAAAAUGCUUCGCAGUGCAGCAAUUUGGAAGCCGCUUGCUCAAAAGAUCAAAGGAUGGGAUCCUAUAUGGGGCACGGUCUUCUUCUCAUGCUUAUUCACAUCCCCCUGGCUGUUAGGAAGAGGCAGGUCACGGUGCACUAUUAUCAGCUGGCGUCCUUUAUAUCAGAUUACAACUAUUCAGUUUCUGGCCAACAGGUUUGUUAAACUAUUCAUUGACUCGAAGAGGAGAUGCUAUUCUAAAACUGUUGGAGCUUGUUGUUAAAAAUGACCUUCAUGCAAUACUAGGUUAUUUUGUUUAAAUAGAAGGCUAAAAAUAAGUUCUCCAUUUCAGCAGGACAGAUAUUGAUAGAAUGAAAGGAUUGCUUGACCAUUAACUGAGCAGAUGAGCCUGAGAAGCUGAAGAAAUUCAAGAAUGUCUCCAAGUUUAUUGCCAACUCUUGGAACAGUUGGAUGGGGUAGAGCUUGACCCUGUUGUGAUAUAUGUUUAGAACAAAUAUUUUGAAUAACUAUAGAGCCUUGAAAGAAUGGAAAGAGAAGGGCAGAUUAGUGAAGAAAUCCGUGUAAUGGAGCUGGGAGCUGCUUCAGGGAACAGGGAAGUCCUCAAUGUUUCAUGCUGGACCCCAUGUGGUGGUGUGUCCCAGUGAAUAUUUAUGCAGAGCAGAGAACAUUGAAUGCCCAGUCCAGAACAGGCAGUACCACGGAUUAUGGAGAUGGAGGUCAUGUCCUGGGUCCACCUGGGAGCUCUCACCUAGUCCAUACGAGUGCCUGAACUCCAGGGGCUCCAGGAGGGUUCUCGCAGAGCCAGUGAUGCGAAGGCACAGCCACCACCACCUCCCAGCUCCCAGACCUGCCCCGCUGCCGCCUGCGCUCUGCUUCCCUGCUGCUGGAGGCACAGGGCGGAUAAAAACCUGUGGAUCCCUUCCAGGCUAUCAGUCUGUCACCUACGGGUGGAGUUCAGUUAUCCGUAUGUGAUGUGCUCCGAUUAAGAUCGGGGAAGAGUUUUGAAAGCACAGACUUGCUGUGCUCAAAGUGCCUACAGAAAACUCCUGAGGAGCUGUGGGUCUGUGACUCAGUAUCUGGGUUCAGAUUGCAUCCAGGCCAUGGGCUUUGAUUUUUGAUUUAUUUAUUUUCAGCUGGGGUAAGGCUCAAACACAGCUUCAGCCAUAUAGCACUUAAUGCUCCGCUCUUAUAAAAUUGCAAAAACUUCAUCCAAUUUAGCUAAAUUCAUUGCAUGGUUUCUCUUAAGGAACGCAAUUUGCCGGUUACAUAAGAUUUCUGUGCAUCUAAAAAAAAGCAAAUCCAAUUGUUCCUUCCUGGUCUGCUUCCAAUAUAGACUCGUCCAGCCGGCCCCGAGAGCAGGCUGAGCUCUGGCCCCAAACCCAGCAGUGAGGAGCUGAAGUGGGAGCACUCCAGGGAAACUUUGCUGUCUGAGAGGAGGGUGCUGUGGGCAGCUCACCAUGAAGCUGGUCUUACUGGGGCCCCCAAAGGAAAAAUGCUGUGCUUAGUUUUGGUACAAUGCCUCGUCUCGUUUGCAGAGUGCAGUUGCCUUUUGUAGUAUUAGGGAUAAUUACAAUAAUUUGUUAUUCAUCAAACAGUUGCAUAUCUUGAAAAAUGUACUUGGGGUACUUCAGCAAUGCCGUAUGAGGCAGAGCAAGCGAGGCAGGGAAGGUGUCACAAGCUCCCACGGGCAGAUUACAUGUUUUCUUGAAGAUAAGAUGUGUCCCGGACAGCUACACUAUGGUGAAUCAUGCAGAACAAAUCAGACUUUUUUUUGUUUUGUUUUAAAAAGUACUUUUUAAAACUGCCUGAUUAUGUAAUAAUGCUCAGUGAUUUUUAGGGCUUUGUCCUGCAAGUUAUUGAACAAUUCCAACUUGAGAAAUAUCAAAAGUCAAUUUAUAACCAGCUACCUGGAUUUGCUGUCAAUAAUUUUGAGUAAUAGUGCUUAAAUACUAUUUUCUUGACAAUUCUAAAA